rnacentral:rRNA from 1 species
AUUGAACGCUGGCGGCAGGCCUAACACAUGCAAGUCGAGCGGAGCGGCGGACGGGUGAGUAAUGCCUAGGAAUCUGCCUGGUAGUGGGGGGUAACGUCCGGACACGAGCGCUAAUACCGGCUACUAUCAGAUUAGCCUAGGUCGGAUUAGCUAGUUGGUGGGGUAAAGGCCGACCAAGGCGACGAUCCUUAACUGGUCUGAGAGGAUGAUCAGUCACACUGGAAUGGAGACAUGGGCCAGACUCCUACGGUAGGCAGCAGUGGGGAAUAUUGGACAAUGGGCGAAAGCCUGCUCCAGCCAUGCAGCGUGUGUGAAGAAGGUCGUCGGAUUGUAAAGCACUUUAAGUUGGGAGGCGUUACCAACAGAAUAAGCACCGGCUAACUUCGUGCCAGCAGCCGCGGUAAUAC